rnacentral:misc_RNA from 1 species
UGCGAGAAUGGAGCAGACGAGCAAUUGCUGCCGCUGCAUGAGUCUUUCCAGACUCUGUGCCCUCAUGCAAAACUCUAGUUGCAGGCAGAAUAAUUUCUUCAGGAAUGGCUUUCUCUGAAGCUUCACCAUCCAAAAUAAGAUUUGCCAGUGCACAUGUUGCCUGCUCUGCAACUUCCAAAGCUGAGGAGUUAGCAAGCAUGACUAAGGAAGACAAUGCAUCUCGAGCAACAGCAGCCACAUCUCGGUUCUCUUUAAUUGACAGAAAAAUGGCGG